UACAGAGGUCCCAAGCGUUGUUCGGAUUCACUGGGCGUAAAGAGCGUGUAGGCGGCUCGAUAAGUCUGCUGUGAAAGUCCAGGGCUCAACCCUGGAAGGCCGGUGGAAACUGUCGGGCUAGAGUCCGGAAGAGGCGAGUGGAAUUCCCGGUGUAGCGGUGAAAUGCGCAGAUAUCGGGAGGAACACCAAUGGCGAAGGCAGCUCGCUGGGACGGUACUGACGCUGAGACGCGAAAGCGUGGGGAGCAAACAGG
rnacentral:rRNA from 1 species